GACGAACGCUGGCGGCGUGCUUAACACAUGCAAGUCGAACGGAAAGGCCUGCUUUCCCUUGUGGAGUGCGGGUACUCGAGUGGCGAACGGGUGAGUAACACGUGAGUGAUCUGCCCCCAACUUGGGUAUAAGCCUGGGAAACUGGGUCUAAUUCCCGAUAGGACUGGAGUGUGGUGGCUGUGGUGGAAAACGAUUUUCUAGUGGUUGGGGAUGAGCGCGCGGCCUAUCAGCUGGUUGGUGGGGUAAUGGCCUACCAAGGCGGCGACGGGUAGCCGGCCUGAGAGUGUGGACGUCCACAUUGAGACUGAUAUACGGCCCAGAGUCCGACGCGAGGCAGCAGUGGGGAAUAGUGCACGAUGGGGGGAAGCCUGAUGCAGCGACGCCGGGUGGGGGAUGACGGCCUUCGGGUUGUAAACUCCUUUCGACCGCGAGGAAGCCACCUGGUUGGAAGGGUGGUGACGGUAGUGGUAGAAGAAGCACCGGCUAACUACGUG
rnacentral:rRNA from 1 species